rnacentral:rRNA from 1 species
UACGUAGGGCGCAAGCGUUGUCCGGAAUUAUUGGGCGUAAAGAGCUCGUAGGCGGCUUGUCGCGUCGACCGUGAAAACUUGGGGCUCAACCCCAAGCCUGCGGUCGAUACGGGCAGGCUCGAGUUCGGUAGGGGAGACUGGAAUUCCUGGUGUAGCGGUGAAAUGCGCAGAUAUCAGGAGGAACACCGAUGGCGAAGGCAGGUCUCUGGGCCGAUACUGACGCUGAGGAGCGAAAGACGUGGGGAGCGAACAGG